GCGUCAGUAGUUCCAUGGUAGAAUACUCGCCUGCCACGCGGGUGACCCGGGUUCGAUUCCCGGCUGACGCA
rnacentral:tRNA from 1 species